rnacentral:ncRNA from 2 species
AAAGCAGGUCAGGCAACCGCUGUCCUCACGUCCGUUGGACGUGGGGGGAGAGGAAAGUCCGGGCUCCACAGAGCAGGAUGCCGGCUAACGGCCGGACGCCGCGAGGCGAGGAAUAGGGCCACAGAGACGAGCGUAUUCAGUUACGGUGAAACGCGGUAACCUCCAUCCGGAGCAACACCAAAUAGGCAGGCGAUGAAGCGGCUCGCUGAGUCU